rnacentral:tRNA from 1 species
GGAGCGGUGAGCAAUCGCACUGCUGAGGUCAGGGGUUCGAUCCCCCUCUGCUCCACCA